AUCCGCGUAUCUCCAAAAAUAAUCUCCUUUCUCUUUUCUCUCCCUUUUAUGUCAAUUGACAAAAGGGAAUCACUUAAUAUCAAUUGAAAAGGGUGUCAAUCGGUCAAUUUCGAAUCUAAAUUAGAGAGAGAUCCACUAAGGAUACAAACAAGUGCUAGAAAGUGAGCUAGCAGCUAUCUGGAAUAUGAAUAAUCUAGCGUGGAUGGAUGUAUGAUAGGUUGGAUGACCGAGGGGAUAUAAACUCUAGAUCUGUUACUGGUGUGAAUAACUUUAUUCAGUUUGCAUGUUCUCAAUAAAAUUGUAUGAGUGGUAACAACAUUAGAUGUCCAUGUAAAAAAAUAUCGCAACAUUAAAUACAAGGAUGUUGAAACUAUUAGAUAUCACCUUCUUCAUGAUGGAUUUGUUAAGGACUAUUUUUUUUGGAAACAUCAAGGGAAAAUACAUGUGAUCGAUGAGAUUUCUUUCGGAAAUGAUUUGAUCAAUGGUGCUCAACUUGAAUUGGGAUAUGAUAAUCCAUAUCGACAAAUGAUUUUGGAUGUUGCUGGUCCCAACUUUAACCAUGGUUCGAGUUAGUAACCUUACAACAAUGUUGAAUAUGGGCCAUCUCAUCCGUAUGAACCUUCAAUUGAGGAGCAACAUGAAACUUCAAUGGAGGAGGAGCCUAAUUUAGAGUACCAAAGAUUUUAUGAAUUGUUGUACUAUGCUGAUGCAAAAUUGUAUCCUGGUUCCUCCCUCUCUCAACUUGUAGUAAUCUCUCAAAUGUUAUAUAUUAAGUUGGAAAAUACUAUGUCACAGAGGGGUUUUAACCAAAUGAUGUAAUUGUUUAAAGAGGCUUUACCGGAAGAUCACCUACUAGUUGAUAGUUAUUAUCAGACUAAGAAGUUAGUGCGUAGCUUAGGUUUACCGGUUGAAAAGAUUAACUAUUGUGAAUCAAGAUGUAUGUUGUAUUAU